AACGAACGCUGGCGGCAUGCCUAACACAUGCAAGUCGAACGAGAUCUUCGGGUCUAGUGGCGCACGGGUGCGUAACGCGUGGGAAUCUGCCCUUUGGUUCGGAAUAACAGUUGGAAACGACUGCUAAUACCGGAUGAUGACGAAAGUCCAAGGAUUUAUCGCCAGAGGAUGAGCCCGCGUAGGAUUAGCUAGUUGGUGUGGUAAAGGCGCACCAAGGCGACGAUCCUUAGCUGGUCUGAGAGGAUGAUCAGCCACACUGGGACUGAGACACGGCCCAGACUCCUACGGGAGGCAGCAGUGGGGAAUAUUGGACAAUGGGCGAAAGCCUGAUCCAGCAAUGCCGCGUGAGUGAUGAAGGCCUUAGGGUUGUAAAGCUCUUUUACCCGGGAUGAUAAUGACAGUACCGAGAGAAUAAGCUCCGGCUAACUCCGUGCCAGCCGCCGCAGUAA
rnacentral:rRNA from 1 species